rnacentral:rRNA from 1 species
UACGUAGGGGGCAAGCGUUGUCCGGAUUUACUGGGCGUAAAGCGCGUGUAGGCGGGAUCGCAAGUCCGGUGUGAAAGCCCCCAGCUCAACUGGGGAAGGUCGCUGGAAACUGCGCUUCUUGAGGGCGGCAGAGGGAAGUGGAAUUGCUGGUGUAGCGGUGAAAUGCGUAGAGAUCAGCAGGAACACCCGUGGCGAAGGCGGCUUCCUGGGCCGCGCCUGACGCUGAGACGCGAAAGCGUGGGGAGCGAACGGG